UUCUUUGGGAUCAGGAAGGUUUGAUUUCUGCAAGAGAUCAUGUUUAUUAACACCAACUGUAUAGGAAACAAAAUGAAGGCGCGAUGAGAUAUUCAGCAUACUUCAGAAUGGUAUAGUACUGUACUACACUUCAGUGUUCAAUAAGGUUGGUAGACCACUAAGAAGGGACCAGUGAUCUGCAGGAGGUGUCCUUCAGAUGCAUCACUUGAAAGAAUGUCAGAGGAAACGUCACUUUGCAGUUAGGAGGCUGUGAUUAUUCACAGGCUCCCAAUAGUUCCAAG